UUUAGUUUGUAGUUUCAGUAAUAGCUUGAUACUAUUUGUUCUUCUGCUUCAAUAAUUGUUCUUUCUUACUGUUGUGAAUUAGGCAGGACUAAUUCAUUUACACCAGACAGGUCUGUGACUAGGAUUUUUCUUGAAGGGUCCCUGGUGGCAUGUUUGGUUUUAUUUUUUCACUUUUUUGUUAGUCAGCCGUGUUAAAAGUAACUACCACUAAUGAAGGUGUACUUGAAUUUGCAAUACAGUCUGCUCUAUUUGCAAUACUGUCAUGCUCUUAACACCAGUAAUGUAAACAGUAUUUAAAAAAAAAAAAAAGUUGAUUUACUAAGUAAAAGGAUGCAACAAACUGCAGCUGCUAAUCCAUAACUACUUUGAGUCACAGGUAGUGCAUUUGGGAAAGCCCAAGUGCUGAUAUAGGCUCCACAAGACCAGUUGCAGUACAUGUAAGAGUGGUUCCUGCUGCUUUUACUUUCCCUGUUCUUGAGAGAUUGGCUUCCUCUCUGGUUGCACAGGUGAAAUGGUUCAUUGCCUGAAUCACCUUCCUUGUGAGCACCAUGGAUGGUGUGAGGGAAGGACAGCAGAAAGGAGGAGGAAGGGAGCAAGAUCCUUCUUGUGAGCUGGGGCAGGGAGAGGUCCUAUGCACUGAGCCUGCACUGGAAACCAUAUCAUCCUUCCCCUGUGGUGCAGAAUGGCUAGCUUCUAUAGGCAGUCCUCUUCUUAAGACUUUCAGGCAAUCCAGACAGAUUGAGUAUUAUCCCCGAAUGUUUAUUAUCACCUUAUGUAAAAGAUCGUGUGGCUAUUUUUCUUAAUUAUAUAAGCUUUUUAUUUUUCCACUUUAGAUAUGCAAACGUGGUUUGAUCUGAUAAGAUAUGAUCACUUGUAUUUGCCUGGUUAAUUCAAAAUUCACUGUCUCUGUUCACCAUUUUUUCCCAUUGGACUGUAUGUUUUAUUCUAAUGUGCAUGAUAUCAAACGUACCUGACACAAAUAUCUAGAAUGAACAUAUAGAUGUCGAUCAUUACUGGCUCUAUGUUUUUAACAGAUAUGGAAGUUUUUAUUUGUUCUGAAUGAUCAUAACCUAGAUUUACUGUAGUUAUCCUGUGACAUGUAGUUCAAUAAUGCAAUGAUAAAUAUGUGUUCCAGUAUUAGCAUAAUGUAGUUUCUCAGUAGCUUGAAGGACGUAUAGAGAACAGAUUGAUUCCAAAACUUUCCUAUUUUGAAAAUUUUCCCUGUAGAAAAAAAAUCUUGUGAAAUACACUCAGAUCUUCUAAUAAUGUAUAUUUUCAUGACAAACUUUAAAAUUUUACAUGUGUGUAUAUAUUUAAUUCAUGGGCACUUUGGGGGGGAAAAAAGUUACUCAUUUUGGUUUAUUUUUUUUAACUUUCAAUUUUUGUGUCUUUACUUUUCUCUCUUCCUGUCACUUGACAAAUAAAACUUUUAAAUUUACUCUUUAAAACUCUUCA
rnacentral:lncRNA from 1 species